rnacentral:rRNA from 1 species
GACAGAGGUGCCGAGCGUUAGGCGGAAUCACUGGGGCUUAAAGCGUGUGUAGGCGGGCGGGCAAGUACCUUGUGAAAUCCCACGGCUCAACGUGGAACGGCUGGGUAUACUGCCUGUCUUGAGCCAACUAGGGGCGAGCGGAACAGACGGUGGAGCGGUGAAAUGCGUAGAUAUCGUCUGGAACGCCAAAGGUGAAAACAGCUCGCUGGGGUUGUGCUGACGCUGGAGAACACGAAAGGCCAGGGGAGCGAAACGGG